rnacentral:antisense_RNA from 1 species
CUACCCCUGGUUUGGCCACCUUGAUUGGGGUGAUGCGGGGGUCCAGGUCGAAGUGGACAAUCUGGAGACGAUUCCUGCGACGAGCCCAGUUGUAGUUGUUCUUGGCAUCAGUCUGUGUUUCGAAGCUGGUCCACGACUGCGAUACCUUUUGACCCAGCAUGGUCUGAAUAGACGUUGCAGUGUCCGUGGGUGUCGCGGUGUACGUGGCAUAUACAAAGUUGCUUCCACCAUCCGUCGAGUAACCGAUCUUAUACUCGUGUCCAGCUUCAACAGCCGUGACCCUCCAGGCUACCCCUGAAGCCUGUUGAAGGUUCAUCAAUACCGGGGUAAUCACCCGGAACUGCCUCAAGGUGACGCUGGAGGAUACAGAGCCCACCGAGCUGACCACGAUGUUGUAGUUGCCCUCAAACACUACUUGAGCCCUGGUGGGCUCUUCAGCGUAUCGGAUGAUACCCGAUAGAGCAACUUCGUUAUCCAGAGCGUAGCCGGUUGCCACGUUGGGGUUGAAACUGUCAUGCACCUCUUGCAGGGCUUCCCACAGCUCAGCCACGCUUGGGGCUACUACGCCAAUCAUGCGGCCCAGG